rnacentral:siRNA from 1 species
CCAAACUAAGAAUGGUAUGCC